rnacentral:rRNA from 1 species
ACGAACGCUGGCGGCGUGCCUAAUACAUGCAAGUAGAACGCUGAAGAGAGGAGCUUGCUCUUCUUGGAUGAGUUGCGAACGGGUGAGUAACGCGUAGGUAACCUGCCUUGUAGCGGGGGAUAACUAUUGGAAACGAUAGCUAAUACCGCAUAACAAUGGAUGACACAUGUCAUUUAUUUGAAAGGGGCAAUUGUUCCACUACAAGAUGGACCUGCGUUGUAUUAGCUAGUAGGUGAGGUAAUGGCUCACCUAGGCGACGAUACAUAGCCGACCUGAGAGGGUGAUCGGCCACACUGGGACUGAGACACGGCCCAGACUCCUACGGGAGGCAGCAGUAGGGAAUCUUCGGCAAUGGGGGCAACCCUGACCGAGCAACGCCGCGUGAGUGAAGAAGGUUUUCGGAUCGUAAAGCUCUGUUGUAAGUCAAGAACGGGUGUGAGAGUGGAAAGUUCACACUGUGACGGUAGCUUACCAGAAAGGGACGGCUAACUACGUGCCAGCAGCCGCGGUAAUACGUAGGUCCCGAGCGUUGUCCGGAUUUAUUGGGCGUAAAGCGAGCGCAGGCGGUUUGAUAAGUCUGAAGUUAAAGGCUGUGGCUCAACCAUAGUUCGCUUUGGAAACUGUCAAACUUGAGUGCAGAAGGGGAGAGUGGAAUUCCAUGUGUAGCGGUGAAAUGCGUAGAUAUAUGGAGGAACACCGGUGGCGAAAGCGGCUCUCUGGUCUGUAACUGACGCUGAGGCUCGAAAGCGUGGGGAGCGAACAGGAUUAGAUACCCUGGUAGUCCACGCCGUAAACGAUGAGUGCUAGGUGUUGGAUCCUUUCCGGGAUUCAGUGCCGCAGCUAACGCAUUAAGCACUCCGCCUGGGGAGUACGACCGCAAGGUUGAAACUCAAAGGAAUUGACGGGGGCCCGCACAAGCGGUGGAGCAUGUGGUUUAAUUCGAAGCAACGCGAAGAACCUUACCAGGUCUUGACAUCCCGAUGCUAUUUCUAGAGAUAGAAAGUUACUUCGGUACAUCGGUGACAGGUGGUGCAUGGUUGUCGUCAGCUCGUGUCGUGAGAUGUUGGGUUAAGUCCCGCAACGAGCGCAACCCCUAUUGUUAGUUGCCAUCAUUCAGUUGGGCACUCUAGCGAGACUGCCGGUAAUAAACCGGAGGAAGGUGGGGAUGACGUCAAAUCAUCAUGCCCCUUAUGAUUUGGGCUACACACGUGCUACAAUGGUUGGUACAACGAGUUGCGAGUCGGUGACGGCGAGCUAAUCUCUUAAAGCCAAUCUCAGUUCGGAUUGUAGGCUGCAACUCGCCUACAUGAAGUCGGAAUCGCUAGUAAUCGCGGAUCAGCACGCCGCGGUGAAUACGUUCCCGGGCCUUGUACACACCGCCCGUCACACCACGAGAGUUUGUAACACCCGAAGUCGGUGAGGUAACCUUUUGGAGCCAGCCGCCUAAGGUGGGACAGAUGAUUGGGGUG